rnacentral:rRNA from 1 species
UACAGAGGGUGCGAGCGUUUAAUCGGAAUUACUGGGCGUAAAGCGCGCGUAGGCGGUUUUUGCAAGUCGGGUGUGAAAUCCCCAGGCUUAACCUGGGAACUGCAUUCGAGACUGCAUUACUAGAGUAUGGGAGAGGGGGGUAGAAUUCCACGUGUAGCAGUGAAAUGCGUAGAUAUGUGGAGGAAUGACCGAUGGCGAAGGCAGCCCCCCUGGGAUAACACUGACGCUCAUGCACGAAAGCGUGGGGAGCAAACGAGG